CGGUUGAUCCUGCCGGAGGUUACUGCUAUCGAGGUUCGACUAAGCCAUGCGAGUCGAAUGCCGCAAGGCAUGGCGUACUGCUCAGUAACACGUGGACAACCUACCCUUAGGACUGGGAUAACCCCGGGAAACUGGGAAUAAUCCCCGAUAGUCCUCGAAGGCUGGAAUGCAUCGAGGGCGAAAGCUCCGGCGCCUAAGGAUGGGUCUGCGGCCUAUCAGGUAGUAGUGGGUGUAGCGUACCUACUAGCCUACGACGGGUACGGGUUGUGAGAGCAAGAGCCCGGAGAUGGAUUCUGAGACACGAAUCCAGGCCCUACGGGGUGCAGCAGGCGCGAAAACUUUACAAUGCUGGCAACAGCGAUAAGGGAACCUCGAGUGCCAGGUUACAAAUCUGGCUGUCGAGAUGCCUAAAAAGCAUUUCAUAGCAAGGGCCGGGCAAGACCGGUGCCAGCCGCCGCGGUAACACCGGCGGCUCGAGUGGUAACCGUUAUUAUUGGGUCUAAAGGGUCUGUAGCCGGCCGGAUAAGUCUCUUGGGAAAUCUGGCAGCUCAACUGUCAGGCUAUCAGGAGAUACUGUCUGGCUCGAGGCCGGGAGAGGUGAGAGGUACUUCAGGGGUAGGGGUGAAAUCUUGUAAUCCUUGAAGGACCACC
rnacentral:rRNA from 1 species